CUCACUCGCUCACUGAUCGGGCACACUCACAUCUCUCUCCGCCGCACUCACUCACAUCUCACUCUCCCCCGCACAUGUCGCCGCAGCCAUCUCUCCCGGCUACGGCGCUGCGGCGACGCCGCAGCUAUAGAUCACCGUCUUGGCUUGGAUCUGCUGCCUCCCCUCAACUUCCCGCCGCACCCCAUCCCCUCCACCGCGAUAUCUCCGGUGAGCAGCGGGACCGCACAUCUGGCCCGGUGAGCAGCCGGAUCCGGCCGCCGGCCGGGAGGUGCAGAAGGCCUGGCCGUUAUUCUUUGCGCCGGCGAUGUAGCUGGAGAGAGGGUCUUCUCCGGUGAGCAACCGGACCGCACAUCUGCCGCGGUGAGCAGCAGGAUUCGGCCGCUAGUCACGCCGGCCACGUAGCUGUUGGGACGGUCCAACAAUGUCUCCAGGCAGUCCAUCUUCGGCAAGAGCAGAGCCGGGCUGCUGAAGAAGGCGCAGGAGCUCGCCAUGCUCUGCGAGGCGGACCUUGGCGUCCUCAUCUUCGACAGCGCCGGCAAGCAGAUGGACUACUGCAGCCCCUCCACCAUGUCCAAUAGUUCUCCUUCGUCAAUCUUCUCCAACCAAUCUCAUGGCACGUGCAUACAUCUCGAUUCAUCCCGGUUGCAAACUUAUUUUGGAUAUUCUGUAAUGCCCUGUCUAGCUAGGUGCCCCUCUGCGGCUCUAACGUGUAUACUUUUAGAUUGUUCUGUUUUUAGUACAAGAGUACAUGUGUGUGGUGAACUGAUAGAUUCAUUCCGGAAGAUGAACUUAUUAAAGUCACUUGAAAUCCUUACAAUCAUCUAAUGCCAAACGAUCUGGGGCAGACACAAUUGAUAUGUGUGAAAUAGAAGAUGAGAACGAACUUCAAUUACCUAGAGUAUGGGGAUGCUCUGAUUGUGUCCCGUGAUGAAGUUAGUCAGGCAAUGCUCAUAAUUUAGCUCCAUGAGGCCAUGGAGAAAAGGCUUGUGCCUCGCAAGGUACAGCUUUUGUCUACAUGCUCAACAAAAUAUCGCCUACCAGACUUGCAGUAUAAUUCAGAAGGAUGGUCAAAGGUUACUUUACGUUGUAUUAUUAUUAGUCAGAUAAGUUCAGCUAAAAAAAGUUAGAUAACAAGAACCGAGUUGAAGUUGUAGAUGUAUACGUCCUUGCAAUCAACGACCCUAGGAUUUAAUGGUGUGUAUGAAUCUACACUUUAUUUUGAACACUAACUUGCAAUUCAUGCAAUGAUGAUUAAACAAACUCCAGUCUAGUGGAUUCAUGCGACGAUGACGAAGUAUUUGUAAGACUAACUUGCAGACUUGCAGUGAUGAUUCACUCGCAGUGUUUGAAGUGUUAGCAGAUGAGCCGCUAAAUGGGAAAGCUCUGAUCUUGAAGUAAUUUUGAGUGUGUUAAAACUGAAAGUUAAUUCCUUUGUUUGGUUGAUAAACUUUCUGAUAUGCUUCAUAAGUGGGUUCAUGGAUAUGCAGUUAAAAGUGAGUAACUAUGGUAUUGUAUAUGAUAUUAAAAUAUUCAGUACAGUAGCAAUGUAGAAUUUCUACCAAACUGAUGUUUGAUUUAGUUAUCUUUGUAUCAACAGCCACACAACUGUAUGAAGCCCUUUUUCUUUUGCACUUCCAACUGAUAGGGUGGAGCUAAUGUGAGAGGAGCUGGUCCUUGUGAUAAUCUCUGGUCACGGCUGCAGAAAAGGGCUUAACGGAAUCUACCGAGUGCCUGCUGGUAGCUGGUGCAAACUUACUUGUUUUUGACAUGGGAUUUUAUGUGAAACAAGUUAACGAGCAGCUUCCCAAAAGAGAUGGAAACCAAUGGAACCUAUGAUAUGCACAUAAAAAAAUGGAACCUAUCCAAACAUGUUGCCUUCUCAGUCGGCUGGAGCUUCAUGUGGGUUAUUCUAUUUGGACUCCUAUUUGCCGUGGUCAGAUCAUAUGCAGUGUACAAAUACAGUCUACAUUCUACAGCGAGAUCAAGCAAAACUGCAACAGUUCUAAAGGCUGUCGAAGAUCACAAGGGCAGCUCGCUAUUGUACAGGACUUCGGUCCAUAAGGGCAACUUGCUGAGAUUUAUGCUAUACAUGUCACAGAACAGGGAUCAAUAUGAGGCGUCAUUUGACUGAACUUCAGUCAGUACAUGUUACAGAACUUCAGUCAAUAUGGGGCGUCAUUGGAUUGAACCCCAGAAUUGUUUGACCUCUACACAACGACAUUACAAAGAGAAUCCGUGUACAGCAUACCUGGGGCGUGCACUCCUAUCGAUUUGUUUAACCCCAGAUUUGUUUGAGCUCUACAGAUUAUUGAGUUUUGUUUGUUUGA